ACCACCGUCCCCCUGUCCCU
rnacentral:miRNA from 1 species